UUGUUUUCUAAUUUUGAUCACUACUGUAAAAUCAUGUCUUUAUAAAAAUAUGCAAACUGUUGGUAACUAGGUUGUUCUUUUAGUUUUUCAAUAGAUUUUUCAGAUUGUUUUACAAGCAAUCAUUUUAUUUAACUUAAAAUACACGUUGUAAAAUAGCUUAAAAUAGUAUUGAUUGUAUUUGUUGAUUGUAUUUACUUAAAAUAUUAACUUUUGCAGUAAAAAAAUUUGUGCAAUUCACAUAAAUGAUGCAAUGGGCUGGGGUAUGUUUCCCAAAGGCAUAGUUGCUAAUUACAUUAGCGACUUACACAUUUAGAACCACACAACUGAAUCUAAAUUGGUAAUGGGAGCUUUUGAGACACGUGCAGUAAAAUAUAAAUAUAUUUUCAAAAUAUUCCAUUGUGGCAUUUAGCAAACUGAAGCAUGGCAGCGACAAACUCAACUAAAAAUGACGGAUUCUGAAUAAAGCAGCCUUUUUUGUAGCCCAUAAAGGCGCCUGACAGAAAUAUCAACCACAUUCCUAUCGCAUAUAACAGAGAAGCAGAAGGUCUGAAGCUGAACUGUACGGUACACAGAUGAUAACUACUCACAGACCUCAGGGACACGUGAGUAACUGACACAGAUCGGGACACACACAGGCAAACACACUUACAUGAACCGAAGACACAGCCCAAGUAUUUACAACACGGAAAACAAACAGGGCUGUGUACAUGCCUGACAUGCUAACAGGCUCCACAUAGCGGAGCCAUUUCACCGGCGCUACAGCAUAAUUAUACAACAACUGCUUGGAAGGGCAAAGCAUGUGAUGUGUACCUUUGUCUUCAGCCAGACGGGAACGGGAAGGUUGGCAUCCUCAUCAUGACAAUGGGGUGACAACAGGGCACAGUUGGCGGCUCUCCAUUGCCCCAUUCAGUCCCCUUCGCCGAAGCCUAAAGCCCAUGCAGAGAAGCCCAGGUGAAGGGAAGAGAAGAAAAGGCCUGAAAAGGCGGCAGGUUACAGAACGAUCGUCAAAACUGCACUGCUUUUCGAUUGGCCCGUUUGAGUAGAGGCGUGUCAGUUAGGGCCUCCUCCAUCUGACUAGGAAAGCACCAUGUGCACACACAGUUCACUGCGCAUCCAUGCAGUAAAGCCUGAACCUGUCGGCGACCUUCUUUAAUCAAAUUAAAACAGCUCAUAACUUUGAUUCUUCCUCCUUUCUCAUCUCAUUCUCCAGCUCUUAUACAUUUUCUAAUAGUCCUGUAGUUUCUGUAGUUUGCACGUUUCAUCUGAGUAUUUACUUGAUUUGUUAAAAGUCACGUUAAUUGUCAGCUAAUUCGGCCAGUUACAGCAGGCUGCUGGCACUUGCCUGCUAGUUUGGCUACUAGCUAGUUAAAUCGCUAGUGCAGCCACUGCAGUUGUCUUGUAAAAAGGUACACAAUCAUUGUGAUACAAACAGUUUUAUUAACUGGUUAGGUAACACCAACAAAAGCAAUGCGCCUCCCUUAAUGCUUCAUUAAAAUGCAGACACAGUCAACUCCUACCGCAGCAUACUGGCAAACAGUACCAACUGGCCCAGCACUGGCUCCAACCCAAACCCCACAUUCCACAGUAGGUGGCAGUGCACGCUCUCCUCCAGGACAUACUACAUGGAAAGGGCGCAGCAGAUGCUUUAAACCCAGUUGCAACACCUGAGGUCCUAGACCAGGACUUUUCAAAUCUGGACCUCAAUUCAAAUUCCAGGCUUUGUAUUCAGUUCUCCCAGGUAGUUAGUUUAAUAAUUACUGAUUGUGAUUGACUGGAGGCUUAUAGGCAAAGGAAGGCUGGAAAAUCAGCAGUGCUCAGACCUUGACGACCAUGACCUUGGUCCUAGACCAAGACCGUGCAGACAAACUGCACUAGACUACAGGCUCUCCACCAUCAAACCGGGCCUGGAGGAAGACAAUUUGAGGGAGCCACAGGAGAUCCGAAGCAGCCCUGGUGUGCAGAAUGAGCAUUUACCCACUAGCCCCAAUAUGGGCCCAGGCCCCAAAGCCUGCUCCUUAGCUUUGAGAUCCAGUGAUCUUCACCUACACAGUCCACUUGCAAUGUCACCCCAUGAUUGCUGCCCUGGAUUUUGGGAGCACCAUCACCAUAGCCCAUCCCUCCUGUCCUAAAGCAGCUUCCCCAGUGGCCUCUGUCCCUUUCAUCUGCUUGCAUGGCGAUAUGAUGGUCAUCUUGGCACUCAGAGUGCACAUCGCUGGCUCGUAGUAUGAGUGUAUAGUAAUUGUAAUGUCAUACUACAGUAUUUGCAGUUAAAAAAUAAAAAACUUUUUCUGUUAAAUCUCUUAGUGAUACAAGGACAGUGUUUGGAGAAGCAGUGAUCAGAAAACCAGGGGUGUCAUUUAUCAAACGCACAUAUGAACAGUUUUGUGUGCAUGUGUACGAAUGUGUGUAUGUACAAGGGCUGUUUCAUAAGUAAGGUCUCCUACCACGUUGCAUAUCUGGAAGUGGGAAAAAAAGCUUAUCUUAUGCGUACAGUAGCCAAUACUGUGCAGUGUGAACGGGCGUGUUUUCAGCUCAGCGUUCAAAGUAAUAAUGUUCAUUAGUAAUAAGUGUUUCAUCCAAUUACAUAUAAAGCAGUGUUCAGUAAUUGUUUUUCAUACUAGAAGGUUGUGUGCCAGUGGAAAUUCAUAAGAAAGGGGUGUGACUUACACAUAAUUUCUGGCUAAAGGAACGGCGAAUUACAAAAGGUAUUGUGAAACCUCAUAAGCACUCAAGCAACACAUCUGCAAAAUCAGGCCCGAAAGAAAUGCUUUAUUUUGCAUCAAGACAAUGCAAGGCCACAUUGCAGUGGACAAAUAAAGAAAACAGUUACAAGCCUGAAAUUCACUGUUGUUCCAUGCACUCCUUACAGCCCAGACUUGGGUCCGUCCAACUUCUGAUUAUUCCCACAAUAGAAGGAGACGUUUCUCCACAUUUUUCCUCGGAUGGUGAAGUUGAAGCUGCUGUGCACUAAUGGAUAAGAAACCAACCAGAGACUUUCUUCAUGGAUGGAAUGAAAAAAUGGAUAGUCUGUUUGACAAACUGUGUAGCGGUAAAUGCGAACUGUGUUGAAAAAUAAAUUUGCAAUGUUUAAGAAAA